AGGUCUACUAAAUAGUAAUUUCAGUGUUUAAAAGAAACUCACAUAAAGUGACAGAGAUUUUAUACCAUAAUUUCUUGAAUUAAUCUCCUUCAGUAGCAUCAUUCUAAUUUCCUAACAUACUUUAUGAGUCUCUUCAUCUUUAGCUCUUUCCUAAGUUUCAAAUUUUAUUUUCGUAUGAACAAGAUUAACACGAGCUAUGUGUUUUUUUCCUCUUCAAGUGCGUCUUAAAAAUAAUCUUCGUUCAUGCAGGGAAUAUCCCACAUCUCACUCCACAGGACCAUCAUUCCAUUCUCCCCACCGGU
rnacentral:lncRNA from 1 species